rnacentral:rRNA from 1 species
GGGUGCGAUCAUACUAGCGUUAAUGCAUCAGAUCCCAUCAGAACUCCGCAGUUAAGCGCGCUUGGGCUACAAUAGUACUGUGAUGGGUGACCUCCCAGGAAGUUGUAGUGUUGCACCCU